UACGGAGGGGACUAGCGUUGCUCGGAAUUACUGGGCGUAAAGGGCGCGUAGGCGGUGUGUCAAGUCAGGCGUGAAAGCCCCGGGCUCAACCUGGGAACCGCGCUUGAGACUGGCACGCUCGAGUUCGGGAGAGGAUGGUGGAAUUCCCAGUGUAGAGGUGAAAUUCGUAGAUAUUGGGAAGAACACCGAUGGCGAAGGCAGCCAUCUGGACCGACACUGACGCUGAGGCGCGAAAGCGUGGGGAGCAAACAGG
rnacentral:rRNA from 1 species